rnacentral:rRNA from 1 species
AUACGGAGGGGGCUAGCGUUGUUGGGAAUUACUGGGCGUAAAGCGCGCGUAGGCGGUUUGGUCAGUCGGAUGUGAAAGCCCCAGGCUCAACCUGGGAAUGGCAUUCGAUACUGCCUGACUAGAGCAUGGUAGAGGGAAGUGGAAUUUCCGGUGUAGCGGUGAAAUGCGUAGAUAUCGGAAGGAACACCAGUGGCGAAGGCGACUUCCUGGGCCAAUACUGACGCUGAGGUGCGAAAGCGUGGGGAGCAAACAGGAUUAGAAACCCCAGUAGUCC